GAUGAACGCUGGCGGCGUGCCUAAUACAUGCAAGUCGAACGAAACUUCUUUAUCACUGAGUGCUUGCACUCACCGAUAAAGAGUUGAGUGGCGAACGGGUGAGUAACACGUGGGCAACCUGCCCAAACGAGAGGGAUAACAAUAGGAAACAGGUGCUAAUACCGCAUAACCAUAGUUACCGCAUGGUAACUAUGUAAAAGGUGGUUAUACUACCGCUUCUGGAUGGGCCCGUGGUGCAUUAGCUAGUUGGUAGGGUAAAGGCUUACCAAGGCAAUGAUGCGUAGCCGAAGUGAGAGGUGGAUCGGCCACAUUGGAACUGAGACACGGCCCAAACUCCUACGGGAGGCAGCAGUAGGGAAUCUGCCGCAAUGGGCGAAAGCCUGAUGGAGCAACGCCGCGUGGGUGAAGAAGGUCUUCGGAUCGUAAAACCCUGUUGUUAGAGAAGAAAGUGCGUGAGAGUAACUGUUCACGUUUCGACGGUAUCUAACCAGAAAGCCACGGCUAACUACGUG
rnacentral:rRNA from 1 species